GCUGGGUGUGGUGGCUCACGCCUGUAAUCCGAGCAUCUAGGCAGCCAAGGUGGGAGGGUUGCUUGAGCCCAGGAGUUCAAGAACCACCUGGGCAAUGUGGCCAGACCCCAUGACUACACAGAUUUUUUAAAUUAGCCAGAUGUGGUGGCACGUGUGUAGUCCCAGCUACUCAGGAGGCUAAGGCAGGGGGACCGACUGAGCCUGGAAUGUUGAGACUGUGAUGAGUCAGGAUCGCAUCAUUGCACUCCAGCCUGGGCAACAGAACCAGACCUCAUCUGU
rnacentral:sRNA from 1 species